rnacentral:rRNA from 1 species
AUGGUUCAAAUUGUAGAACAUUAUUUCUUUGUCACAGCUCAUUUCUUUAUUUUCUCUUUUGUUGCUGAGUUUAAUUUCCCAUAUUCCUAUAUCCUUAAUGCUCUGUGCUGGGUUUCCAAACAAUUUACAAGCUCUAUAAAUUUGUCACAUAUUGACAGGGUGGUAUUAUCCUUGUUCUCCGCUUUCCUCUCCUUAUUUGUGGUUCGUGUAAUUUCCAUCUGUCCCUGUGAUGAACAUUUUAGUAAUCUGAGCACUGGUUCAAUUGGUGCUCCCUUUCAGCCCUCUGCUGUGAGGUCGAAGGAACCAAUGUUUCCACACGUGCACUGUUGA